rnacentral:rRNA from 1 species
AACGCGUGAGAAUCUAGCUUCAGGUCUGGGACAACCACUGGAAACGGUGGCUAAUACCGGAUGUGCCGGAAGGUGAAAGGCUUGCUGCCUGAAGAUGAGCUCGCGUCCGAUUAGCUAGUAGGUGGGGUAAGAGCCUACCUAGGCGACGAUCGGUAGCUGGUCUGAGAGGAUGACCAGCCACACUGGGACUGAGACACGGCCCAGACUCCUACGGGAGGCAGCAGUGGGGAAUUUUCCGCAAUGGGCGAAAGCCUGACGGAGCAAUACCGCGUGAGGGAGGAAGGCUCUUGGGUUGUAAACCUCUUUUCUCAGGGAAGAACACAAUGACGGUACCUGAGGAAUCAGCAUCGGCUAACUCCGUGCCAGCAGCCGCGGUAAUACGGAGGAUGCAAGCGUUAUCCGGAAUGAUUGGGCGUAAAGCGUCCGCAGGUGGCUGUGUAAGUCUGCUGUCAAAGAGCAAAGCUCAACUUUGUAAAGGCAGUGGAAACUACACGGCUAGAGUGCGUUCGGGGCAGAGGGAAUUCCUGGUGUAGCGGUGAAAUGCGUAGAGAUCAGGAAGAACACCGGUGGCGAAGGCGCUCUGCUAGGCCGCAACUGACACUGAGGGACGAAAGCUAGGGGAGCGAAUGGGA